UACGGAGGGUGCAAGCGUUAAUCGGAAUUACUGGGCGUAAAGGGCGCGUAGGUGGUAUUGUAAGUGAGCUGUGAAAUUCCUGGGCUUAACCUGGGGUGGUCAGCUGAUACUGCAAAACUAGAGUACGGGAGAGGGUAGUGGAAUUUCAGGUGUAGCGGUGAAAUGCGUAGAUAUCUGAAGGAACACCAGUGGCGAAGGCGACUACCUGGCACGAUACUGACACUGAGGCGCGAAAGCGUGGGGAGCAAACAGG
rnacentral:rRNA from 1 species